AUUGAACGCUGGCGGCAGGCCUAACACAUGCAAGUCGAACGGUAACAGGAAGAUGCUUGCUUCUUUGCUGACGAGUGGCGGACGGGUGAGUAAUGUCUGGGAAACUGCCUGAUGGAGGGGGAUAACUACUGGAAACGGUAGCUAAUACCGCAUAACGUCGCAAGACCAAAGAGGGGGACCUUCGGGCCUCUUGCCAUCGGAUGUGCCCAGAUGGGAUUAGCUAGUAGGUGGGGUAACGGCUCACCUAGGCGACGAUCCCUAGCUGGUCUGAGAGGAUGACCAGCCACACUGGAACUGAGACACGGUCCAGACUCCUACGGGAGGCAGCAGUGGGGAAUAUUGCACAAUGGGCGCAAGCCUGAUGCAGCCAUGCCGCGUGUAUGAAGAAGGCCUUCGGGUUGUAAAGUACUUUCAGCGGGGAGGAAGGGAGUAAAGUUAAUACCUUGGCUCAUUGACGUUACCCGCAGAAGAAGCACCGGCUAACUCCGUG
rnacentral:rRNA from 1 species